AAAGAUUAAGCCAUGCAUGUCUAAGUAUAAGCAAUUUGUACGGUGAAACUGCGAAUGGCUCAUUAAAUCAGUUAUCGUUUAUUUGAUAGUACCUUCUACAUGGAUACCCGUGGUAAUUCUAGAGCUAAUACAUGCUAAAAACCUCGACUUCGGAAGGGGUGUAUUUAUUAGAUAAAAAACCAAUGCCCUUCGGGGCUCCUUGGUGAUUCAUAAUAACUUGUCGAAUCGCUUGGCCUUGCGCUGGCGAUGGUUCAUUCAAAUUUCUGCCCUAUCAACUUUCGACGGCUGGGUCUUGGCCAGCCGUGGUGA
rnacentral:rRNA from 1 species